rnacentral:rRNA from 1 species
AUUGAACGCUGGCGGCAGGCCUAACACAUGCAAGUCGAGCGGAUGAAGGGAGCUUGCUCCUGGAUUCAGCGGCGGACGGGUGAGUAAUGCCUAGGAAUCUGCCUGGUAGUGGGGGAUAACGUCCGGAAACGGGCGCUAAUACCGCAUACGUCCUGAGGGAGAAAGUGGGGGAUCUUCGGACCUCACGCUAUCAGAUGAGCCUAGGUCGGAUUAGCUAGUUGGUGGGGUAAAGGCCCACCAAGGCGACGAUCCGUAACUGGUCUGAGAGGAUGAUCAGUCACACUGGAACUGAGACACGGUCCAGACUCCUACGGGAGGCAGCAGUGGGGAAUAUUGGACAAUGGGCGAAAGCCUGAUCCAGCCAUGCCGCGUGUGUGAAGAAGGUCUUCGGAUUGUAAAGCACUUUAAGUUGGGAGGAAGGGCAGUAAGUUAAUACCUUGCUGCUUUGACGUUACCAACAGAAUAAGCACCGGCUAACUUCGUG